rnacentral:lncRNA from 1 species
CAAUCAAGUAAGUGAUGUUUCAUACACCGUGGUCAAAAGUGCGUCGUGAACCACCGUCACGCCCUAGAACACGCAAACAAGUACAAUGAGACUCGAUAACGAGUCAUAAAACAAUGCCAAUCACAACCCCAAUAGGGUUUGAUAAACAUAUACAAGCAUCAUAGGCAACCAGAAAUUUUUGGUAAAGUAACUAGCUUUGGCCCAAAAAAAACAGUUUUGUCCUCAUUUUGCGGUAAUGGCACCGAUUUCACUACGAUUAUCGGAUAAGGGUGUAAGACCCACUGUUUCGAAGCUAAGAAACAGGGCUACAACAAUGUAGAAGGUCACCCAGUCAAAUUCCUUGCACAACUAGGUCAAAUAUGCAAAAUACCAAACCAGAACCUUAAUUGCAGGUUUACAAAUUACACUAUGCUGUAAUUAGUACAACUCAGUCUGUACAGGUCCAAAUUCAGAAAUUCGAAAGGCAUAUGGUAGCUAAGACAUCAAGAUAUAUUUCAUUAGAAGACCUCAACAACCAAAUCCAAAGCAAUUCCAGCCAAAACUGCCAAUUACAGGCGCAGUUCUGCCAUCCUGAUGAACCCAGAAUAGCAAUAGUAAUUUCGACAUUUCCCACUCUACACUACUCCAAAUGACCUGAAAUUUUACAGGCACUUCAAACACAUCAAUACCUACAACUUUCAUGUUUUAAGAAAAGGCCAAUUCGGCCUCUAACCAUAUGAUACAAAACCGGACAGAAAAGGGGGUUAUGAAACCCUAACUUUUCACAUUUCCUUCCAAAUUCAAAAUUGGUUGCAAUUACCAAUCAUUUACACCCACUAGAGUCAUAAAACAUCAUUUCCAACCAUCAUGGACAGCCACAACCUCAUGAUCAAAUUAAACCAGAAAAAUCACCAUUAAGUUGAAAACUUCAUCAUUUCAUCCAAAAGUAAGAAAUAAAUCACAAAGGUCAUCACUUUAGCUUCCACUAAGCACAACUCAAGCUUCAUUAAGUGUAGGAGGAAGUUCAAACACCACUUACCUAGAACACAAGAGAGGGAGAGUUGUAGGACACCUUAGCUUCAUUGAACACUUCCACAAAAUCACUUACUAGCACCAAAUGGAGGGAUUUUAUGGAGUAGAAACAAAUUUACGCAAUUGUUUUGGAGGAUUUGAGCUAGUUGGAAGCUUGAAAAUUGGAGAAGUUUUCUUUCUUUUCCUAGAGAGAGAGCCAGCCAAGAAGUUGAAGACAAGAAUGAAUUUUGUGUGAUUUUUGAGAUAUUUAAGCAAUUGGUCAAAAAGUCAAGAAAAUGAAUAGUUGUCCUACAAGUGCCACCAUUCACCAAGUGACACUUGUCACUACAUUUAAAGCAUUUCUAUCCUUUAAGUCUCUCUCACAUCAAUCACAUCUCAACCUCUACUUAUCUCUUAACACCCGAUAAAUUUCAACCAGUAUCCGAAACUUAACCUAAUUGGCCGACUUUUUCCGAACUUUUCGCACUAGUGGGUCCCACGUCCGAUAUAUAUCCUUAAUUUUUCAAAAACUCUCCAAUACUAGAAAAAUCAUUUAAAAACAUAAUUACUCAUAAAAUUCACCAGGAAAAUUUUUUCCUAAGCCAGAAAAUGCAGAAAACAUGCCAUUAAAGGGGAUAAACCCUAGGAAAAUUAUUAAGAGGAAUUUACGGGUUCUCACAAAUAAUCUCAAACAUGAAAAGUGAAGUCUGAAUAUGAGUAAGGUGAAUUUAUGAACAACAAAUUCAGUUAGACCAACUAUAAUGGUGAAAUGUUAUUUGUAAACCAAAUGGCACAUUGAAUAAAUUUUCCAAAUUGCUUAAAGUAUAGGUUUUGUAGUCAAUUAGAAAUAAUUAUAUAAUUUAUUUCAUAUGUUAACAUGUGGUUAAAUUAGUUAUUGUCCUCCCUACCAGGAAAAAAAAGAGUAAAUCAAGUUUAAUGGAAGGAAAUAAUUUAAUAGCAUGAUUCUAAUAUGGAUAGUUAAGUCUAAAUAUGAGUACAAUUGUAUUAAUGAUCAAUGAAAAUUGCUGAGUAUCCAUCUUCAUUUUGAAUUUGAGUUUGUACAUUAUCAAUAUAUGCUUUUGAUGUACGCCGAUUACCCAAGCUCAAUCACAUUCUGAUAUUAACUGAGCGGGACACAUUCUGAGUUGUUAAACUUUCAUUAGUUAUGUUCAACAUGCAUGGAACUAACAGUAUUCCUUUGGGGCAUAGUAGAAACAUAGUAGGAGCGUUUUGUAUUCCUGAGCAGACUCGUUUAGACUAAUCUAUGGUGCAAAGUUGAGUUAGCUUUGUAUAGUAGGAACAACGAAAGGGAUGAGAACAACACAUGAGCACGAGCCAGGCAAAGGACAGCUGAGGGAAAUAGCUACCAAAGAUCGGGCAGAAGGAGUUCUAAACAUGAGGCUUCCUAUAUUAUAUAGACUGUAUUAUUGUAAAUGAACAUGCACCCUUGGACAAGUUGUGGCCAUGUUCUAUGUGCCCAAAAAAUGGGGGAUACACAGGAGUAGACCACAAAUUGCAAAUUGGCACGAAGAGAAGUAAAAAAUAGUGGGAAGAGUAGAAACAAUAGGACCGAAUUUGUUCAAAAAAAAAAGAACCGAAAUUAUAUAUAUCUAAACCGUAUGUAUGAUCACAAAUCAAGAUUAUUAAGCUGUAAAUGUUUACUUAAAAAAAGAGUUAUGUUGAUUUAAAUUGAAUUGUUAGUUGAUGCAAAUGAGUGAAUAUAUACAUAAUUGACAUAGUGGCUUUUCAACAAGAAUCAAAAUUUUAGAUGAGUAAUCGUAAACAUAAUUAAUACAUUAUUUCAAGAAAUCAAAAUUUGUGGUUGUGGAUAAGUAAUCACAGCUAAUUGCUCAGAUUAUAGGUGGAAAAAAAAGUCCAUCAAAUGUAACUCUGUCAAGUUGCAUGUACUAAACUAUGGCUAUCUGCUAACUAAACACGGCAGCCAAUGAUUCGCCGAUAAUGCUGUCAUGCUGACUUGGCAUGGAAGCAUGCAAAAAAUUUUUUUUUUUGAAUCAAUUAAAUUUCGAUCAAACCAAAAUAGGAUCAGUGUUUUGGGGUUUUAGAGAUUAGGAAUUAGGGUUUAGAUAAGGUUUUAAAGCAACAGAUAGGGUUUUCAAUAGGGUUUUGAGGUUUUAAACCAACAGAUAGUGUUUAGAGUCUAUGUUUUAAACAAGAGUAAAUCUUUCCUACACUGACAGUGUAUACACUAUCAUCAUCGGAUUCAUGAUAUGUGUGCAAAAGUUGAAUUUCAAAUUCAAAUUUUGCGUAGUUGUCAGUCAUCCAACACUGAUAGUGUAUACACUGUUAGUGUAAGAAAGAUUAAUCCUUUAAACAAUACCGUACUCAGACUUUUACUCCUUUUUUGUUGGGUAGGAACCAAAAGGGAUGCCAUGUUUGUUAGAUUAGAUACUAUCACGCCCCAUAUUUUGAAAAAUAAUAAUCUAAGUAUUUAGAAAAAAUGGAUUUAUUAAAAGAUGAAUGAAUUGAAAAAAACAAGUUUUUGAUCUUAGAGGACAAAUAAAUAAAGGAAAAAUGCCUAAAAUGGGACUUAAAACAUGCAAUGAUUUGAGCCCAAAAUAAUUGUUUAAAAAGGAUUUUUUUAAAAAAAUAGGAGUCGCUACUUGGUAUCGAGUUUUGGUAUACCAAAUUAUCCAAAAUAUGUUUUUUAAUAAAAAAAAUAAACAAAACCCUUUUUAGAUGACUCCAGGUCUUCGAAAAAUAAGAGAAAAGAGUUCGGAAGUCACGGUUGAAAGAAGGAAAGGCAAAGAUUUGAUCUAAAGCACCCUUUCAACCUAGCCAAGAAUAAUUGCGUGAUUUAGUCGAAAAUUUUCUUAAUCUAACCUAUAAAACUUAUCGCAUUUAGAUGUUUUACAUGGAUGCAAAUCUAGACCUAAUGGAUAUCGAGAGGGUCAAAAUAUCUCUUCAAAAUUUAGUUUGUGCAAAUCACAUUAAUUGUGAUGUUCAAAAAUAAUUUUUAGAAGAGGUCACGAAUAUGCAAAAAUGAGACACGAAGAAAAGAAAAUUUAUAAUAUAUAAAUAUACGUGACCUGUCACGCCCCAUUUUUUGAAAAAAUAAAAUUACGGGUUAUACAAAUGAAUUUUUGAUUAAUUUUGAGUGAAAAUGAGUUUUUGAUUUUUAGAAAAUAAACAAAAAAGGCCUAAAAUGAGACUUAAAACGUGCGACAGUUUUGGCGCAAAAUAAUAGUCUAAAAUGGGUUUUUAAGAAAAAAUAGGAGUCGCCACUUGGUAUUAAGUUAAGAUGUACCAAGUCACCCAAAAUGUGUUACUUAAAUAAAAAAAUAAAUGAAACUCUUUUUAGACGACUCCAGGUUUUCGAAAAAUAAAAGAAAAGAGUUUAGGAGUCACAGUUGAAAAAAGAGAAGGCAAAGAUUUGAUAAAACCAAACCUAACGCAUCCUUUUAACCUAACCAAAACUAGUUGCAAGAUUUAGUCAAAAAUUUUCUUAGUUUAACCUAUAAAACUUUUUACAUAUAGAUGUUUCUACAUGGAUGCAAAUCUAGACCUAGUGAAUAUUGAAAGUAUCGAAAUAUCUCUUCAAAAUUUAAUUGGUGCGAAUCACAUUAAUUGUGAUACCUACAAAUGAUUCUUUAGAAGAGGUCUAGAAUAUGUAAAAAUGAGACUCAAAGAAAAGAAAAAAUUAUAAUAUAUAAAUAUACAUGACCUAAAAGAAAGGAAUGCAAUAUGACGGGUACAGGAGUUAAGAUUCGUGACUUAAUUUUUCCUUUUUAUAGAGGAGAUACGACCAUACUAAGGCUGAGAAACCAUACUUGUCCAUUUCCCAUAUUUGAAGGGUAACUCCCCUAAUCUAGUCAAGCAAAUGUACUAACCUAUUUUUAAUUUUUCUUAAAUGGAAUGCAAGUCUAAAUGUCAUGUUUCGUACAUAGGAAUAAGGGAUAUACAUAUAGAGGAAAUAUAAUUUAAAAAAGGAUCCUAAAAAGUAAAAAAUAUGCAUGAAAUGUAGUAAUUGUCACGCAAAGAAUGUGAAUCUAGCGUGUGGACAAUCCCUAAGGGUUUAGCAUUGGACUAACUCAUAUCUAUAAGUUCUCACUAGCAUUGGGCUAGUGAGAAAUCGAAAAAAAUGACCACAACUAGUGUUGGACUAGUGUGGUGACGUCAUGCAUUUAUUAUAAUGAAAUAAAUCAUAUAAAGUAUAAUAAAAAUGAGUAAACACAUAAGGCGCAUAAAGCAUGAAACACGUAGGCAUGAUAUCUAGAUGUAAAGGUCCUAAAGAAAGCGAAUAAACACAUAAGCACGCAAGCAAAGAAAUGUAGAUAAAAGCCUAACUAUUACAUUCGAGACCCUAACUACAAUUUAGGGGGGGAAUUCUAAAAAUAAUAACCUAACUAUUAAAUUCAUCUUAACUAAAUACAUUUUUUUUAACAAAAAUUAAAACCUAUCAAUUACAGAGGCUAGCUAAAUGCAUGUCUUGAGCAUCUAUCUAUUACAAUUUAGCAUUUAAAUGCAUCUCGAAUAAUCAUCAAAAUUAAUAUAUGAAACUUGAGCUAAAUAAAACGAGUAAUUAAAUAAAUAAAGAAAACACUCAAAAUCAUGCAAUUACACAUAAAACACAUAGGAGCACAUGAAAGAUUUUUAAAUAAUAAAAAAAUACAUCCCUUGAAGUAGUAGCUAAUUGAGGUUGGAUUUACCCUAUUUAUGCUCCAAAAUGAACAAAAUUAUCAAGGCAUCAAUUUAAUUAUAAAGAAAUAAAAAUAAUCAUGAAAUCUACCAAUUAAAUCACUUAAAUGAAACAUAAUUAACAAUUAAAGAAGAAAAGCAACUUGUAUUUAAUAAAUCAAAACUAUUAGGGACCUAAUUACAAAAAUUAAAAAGUUUUGAGGGUCAAAUUAUAAUCAUUACAAAAAUUAGGGGUCAAAAUGAAAGAAAAAUUAAGUUUGGGGACCAAAUUGAAAUUAAAAUAGGGACCUAAUUGAACAAAUCAAAGUUUUUAGGGUCUUAAUAUAAUUAUUCAAAAGUUCAGAGACUGAUUUGAAAUUUUCGUCACCAGAUCACUUAAUAAAAGGCCAUUGGGCCAUUUUCAGAAUUUCUUUGGGCCAAAGGCCACUUGCCUGGACCGAAAGCCCUAAGAAAAAGAAUAGGUCAAGCCUACUCUUUUUACCAAAUCAGCCCAAUCAUAAAUGCAUGGGCUCUGGUCUCCUAACGCAAGCCAAAACCCAGAAGAAAUAAACCAAACCCACUCUUAAAACCCAACCAACUAUUAUUACCCCAAAACCUAAACCAUACUGCUAAACCCAACAUGAUAAACAAAUGAACUAAAUUAUUAAGCCACAAUUAUGACCUAAAAUCCAAAAUUAAUCUACCCGGAAGACUAAUCAAAAUAUAAAAAAGAUGAUUAAAAUCUAAAAGGGCGAAAUAAGUUUAACUUUUCCAAUUUUUGGGCCAUGAUAAAAUUAGGCAAAAGUUGAGGGGUUAAGUUGCAAUUUUUGGAGAUUUCCAUGCACCUCCUUCGAAGCUUUCCUCUACAGCUUCUGGGUUUGCUAUAGAAGUUCAUUGAACCAACCAACAUUCGCACCCAAUCGCACGCAUGUUGCAUCAUGACAAGGAAUACAAUCAAAACUUUAUUCUAGGGAACAAACAAAUCCUUUCCCUAAACCCUCCUAGCAAAAUCACCCAAAAUGUUAACCAUGGCUCCACAACUUCAAGUUGAGGAAAGCAGCUUCUUGGACAAACAGAUGAAACAGGAAGAAAGGAAAUGGAAGCAACGAAAGACAAAAAAAAUGCAUAACUAAUGGAAACUUAAAUCUAGUUAAAUUUCACAGGCAUUGUUCUCCCCUUUUAAUAUCAGAAGGAAAUAAUACCAGAAAACCCAAGUUCAUAGCUCAAAACUUCCCCCAGAUUCAUGAAUAGAAGAAAACAAACAACUUUUGUUCAUAGGCUUCGAAUAAAGUCCAGUACAUAACUUUGAUUGUGAACUUACAGAGAUAAAUAAACAAGAGGAUUUGAUGGAAGCCGCGUGGAUUCUUGGAACGAAGUCAGGAGCAAGUUGCUGCAGAAAAGCAAUGAUGAAGCCGCUACUUUGAGCCUCGAUUUAACUAGUCUGGAGCUGUUUUUUCCCAGAAAUUUGGCGCGGAACCGAGUUGGUUCGUCAGCCUGGUCUCGAAAAUUUUUUGCAGAAAAUUUUUCCUUUUUUUUUUUUUUUUUCCUAUUUUCUCUCUUUCUCUUUUUCCUUGCUGUUUUCUUUCUCUUUCACUGACCGCCGCCUCCUCCU